rnacentral:rRNA from 1 species
CCCAAAGGCGUAUUGAACGAAAAGGCCGUCCUCCGCGUCGGCUGAGGGAAGAUGGGCGUCCGCUCUGCGGGCGCCCCGCAUUCCCGGGGCGUCUCGUGCUACCGUCGCUCGUCGGCGGAAGCUGAGGCGCACCCAGAGCGCACACGUUGGUACCCGAAAGAUGGUGAACUAUGCCUGGCCAGGACGAAGCCAGGGGAAACCCUGGUGGAGGUCCGUAGCGAUUCUGACGUGCAAAUCGAUCGUCAGAGCUGGGUAUAGGGGCGAAAGACUAAUCGAACCAUCUAGUAGCUGGUUCCCUCCGAAGUUUCCCUCAGGAUAGCUGGCGUUCGGAGAUUCGAGUCCCAUCCGGUAAAGCGAAUGAUUAGAGGCCAUGGGGUCGAAACGACCUCAACCUAUUCUCAAACUCUAAAUGGGUGGGAUCCGCGGCUUGUUUGAACGU